rnacentral:rRNA from 1 species
UUAGAGUUUGAUCCUGGCUCAGGAUGAACGCUAGCGGCAGGCUUAACACAUGCAAGUCGAGGGGCAGCGAGGGUAGCAAUACCUGUCGGCGACCGGCGGAAGGGUGCGUAACGCGUGAGCAACAUUCCCGUAUCUGGGAGAUAACCGGUGGAAACGCCGACUAAUAUCCCAUAACAACAUUUGCGGCAUCAAGAGUGUUUGAAAGAUACGUCGGAUACGGAUUGGCUCGCGUGACAUUAGCUAGUUGGUGAGGUAACGGCCCACCAAGGCGACGAUGUCUAGGGGUUCUGAGAGGAAGAUCCCCCACAUUGGAACUGAGACACGGUCCAAACUCCUACGGGAGGCAGCAGUGAGGAAUAUUGGUCAAUGGGCGGAAGCCUGAACCAGCCAAGUCGCGUGAAGGAUGAAUGUCCUAUGGAUUGUAAACUUCUUUUGUACGGGAGCAAUAAGGGUCUCGUGAGGCCCGAUGAGGGUACCGUACGAAUAAGCAUCGGCUAACUCCGUGCCAGCAGCCGCGGUAAUACGGAGGAUGCGAGCGUUAUCCGGAUUUAUUGGGUUUAAAGGGUGCGUAGGCGGAAUGCCAAGUCAGCGGUGAAACGCACGCGCUUAACGCGUGACCUGCCGUUGAAACUGGUAAUCUGGAAUACGGAUGCUGUGGGAGGAAUGUGUGGUGUAGCGGUGAAAUGCAUAGAUAUCACACAGAACACCGAUUGCGAAGGCAUCUCACAAAUCCGUCAUUGACGCUGAGGCACGAAAGUGUGGGGAUCAAACAGGAUUAGAUACCCUGGUAGUCCACACUGUAAACGAUGAUAACUCGCUGUCGGCGAUAUACGGUCGGUGGCCAAGCGAAAGCGAUAAGUUAUCCACCUGGGGAGUACGACCGCAAGGUUGAAACUCAAAGGAAUUGACGGGGGCCCGCACGAGCGGAGGAACAUGUGGUUUAAUUCGAUGAUACGCGAGGAACCUUACCCGGGCUCGAACGGCAAGUGAAGAGAGGCAGAGAUGCUGACGUCCUUCGGGACACUUGUCGAGGUGCUGCAUGGUUGUCGUCAGCUCGUGCCGUGAGGUGUCGGCUUAAGUGCCAUAACGAGCGCAACCCUUGUCGUCAGUUACCAGCAUGCAGUGAUGGGGACUCUGGCGAGACUGCCACCGUAAGGUGAGAGGAAGGGGGGGAUGACGUCAAAUCAGCACGGCCCUUACGUCCGGGGCGACACACGUGUUACAAUGGUGGGUACAGAGGGCGGCUAUCCGGCGACGGAAUGCAAAUCUCGAAAACCCAUCUCAGUUCGGAUUGGAGUCUGCAACUCGACUCCAUGAAGUUGGAUUCGCUAGUAAUCGCGCAUCAGCCAUGGCGCGGUGAAUACGUUCCCGGGCCUUGUACACACCGCCGGUCA